ACACCGGCGGCCCCGAGUGGUGAUCGUGAUCAUUUGGGUCUAAAGGGUCCGUAGCCGGUUUGGUCAGUCCUCCGGGAAAUCUGACAGCUCAACUGUUAGGCUUUCGGGGGAUACUGCCAGACUUGGAACCGGGAGAGGUAAGAGGUACUACAGGGGUAGGAGUGAAAUCUUGUAAUCCCUGUGGGACCACCUGUGGCGAAGGCGUCUUACCAGAACGGGUUCGACGGUGAGGGACGAAAGCUGGGGGCAC
rnacentral:rRNA from 1 species